GGCGGCGUGCUUAACACAUGCAAGUCGAACGGAAAGGCCCUGCUUUUGUGGGGUGCUCGAGUGGCGAACGGGUGAGUAACACGUGAGUAACCUGCCCUUGACUUUGGGAUAACUUCAGGAAACUGGGGCUAAUACCGGAUAGGAGCUCCUGCUGCAUGGUGGGGGUUGGAAAGUUUCGGCGGUUGGGGAUGGACUCGCGGCUUAUCAGCUUGUUGGUGGGGUAGUGGCUUACCAAGGCUUUGACGGGUAGCCGGCCUGAGAGGGUGACCGGCCACAUUGGGACUGAGAUACGGCCCAGACUCCUACGGGAGGCAGCAGUGGGGAAUAUUGCACAAUGGGCGGAAGCCUGAUGCAGCAACGCCGCGUGCGGGAUGACGGCCUUCGGGUUGUAAACCGCUUUCGCCUGUGACGAAGCGUGAGUGACGGUAAUGGGUAAAGAAGCACCGGCUAACUACGUGCCAGCAGCCGCGGUGAUACGUAGGGUGCGAGCGUUGUCCGGAUUUAUUGGGCGUAAAGGGCUCGUAGGUGGUUGAUCGCGUCGGAAGUGUAAUCUUGGGGCUUAACCCUGAGCGUGCUUUCGAUACGGGUUGACUUGAGGAAGGUAGGGGAGAAUGGAAUUCCUGGUGGAGCGGUGGAAUGCGCAGAUAUCAGGAGGAACACCAGUGGCGAAGGCGGUUCUCUGGGCCUUUCCUGACGCUGAGGAGCGAAAGCGUGGGGAGCGAACAGGCUUAGAUACCCUGGUAGUCCACGCUGUAAACGGUGGGUACUAGGUGUGGGGUCCAUUCCACGGGUUCCGUGCCGUAGCUAACGCUUUAAGUACCCCGCCUGGGGAGUACGGCCGCAAGGCUAAAACUCAAAGGAAUUGACGGGGCCCCGCACAAGCGGCGGAGCAUGCGGAUUAAUUCGAUGCAACGCGUAGAACCUUACCUGGGUUUGACAUGGAUCGGGAGCGCUCAGAGAUGGGUGUGCCUCUUUUGGGGUCGGUUCACAGGUGGUGCAUGGCUGUCGUCAGCUCGUGUCGUGAGAUGUUGGGUUAAGUCCCGCAACGAGCGCAACCCUUGUUCACUGUUGCCAGCACGUUAUGGUGGGGACUCAGUGGAGACCGCCGGGGUCAACUCGGAGGAAGGUGGGGAUGACGUCAAGUCAUCAUGCCCCUUAUGUCCAGGGCUUCACGCAUGCUACAAUGGCUGGUACAGAGAGUGGCGAGCCUGUGAGGGUGAGUGAAUCUCGGAAAGCCGGUCUCAGUUCGGAUUGGGGUCUGCAACUCGACCUCAUGAAGUCGGAGUCGCUAGUAAUCGCAGAUCAGCAACGCUGCGGUGAAUACGUUCCCGGGGCUUGUACACACCGCCCGUCAAGUCAUGAAAGUUGGUAACACCCGAAGCCGGUGGCCUAACCGUUGUGGGGGAGCCGUCGAAGGUGGGACUGGUGAUUAGGACUAAGUC
rnacentral:rRNA from 1 species